rnacentral:rRNA from 1 species
GACGAACGCUGGCGGCGUGCUUAACACAUGCAAGUCGAACGGAAAGGCCCUGCUUUUGUGGGGUGCUCGAGUGGCGAACGGGUGAGUAACACGUGCGUAACCUGCUCUUGACUUUGGGAUAACUUCAGGAAACUGGGGCUACUACCGGAUAGGAGCUCCUGCUGCAUGGUGGGGGUUGGAAAGUUUCGGCGGUUGGGGAUGGACUCGCGGCUUAUCAGCUUGUUGGUGGGGUAGUGGCUUACCAAGGCUUUGACGGGUAGCCGGCCUGAGAGGGUGACCGGCCACAUUGGGACUGAGAUACGGCCCAGACGCCUACGGUAGGCAGCAGUGGGGAAUAUGGCACAAUGGGCGGAAGCCUGAUGCAGCAACGCCGCGUGCGGGAUGACGGCCUUCGGGUUGUAAACCGCUUUCGCCUGUGACGAAGCGUGAGUGACGGUAAUGGGUAAAGAAGCACCGGCUAACUACGUG